GAAGAAACCGAAGAUGAUCACAGUCCUGGCUGUCAGUUUUCUGCUCCUGUUCUACAUUGAUACAAUUGAAUCUCUCCAGUGCAAUUAUUGUCGAAAAGUUGACAUUGAUAACAAAUGCAGUCAUGUGGAAAAAUCUUGCAGUGCAGGAAAAAGUAAAUUCUGCUAUACUCGGAUGGUUGUUAGAGGGGGCCGUUUGCAACGCGUGGAGCGAGGUUGCAGCAUGAAGUGCCGCACCAUGAGGUUCAGGAGUCGCCGUAAACUGGAAGAGUACAUGCUGUGCUGCGACACGGAGCGCUGCAACCAGCACAAGGUCUGGAAUGGGAGAACAAAAGGCUAAGGCGGACCGUCUGGACACGAAGCAGCCACAGAACUAUCCGCGGUGGCCGCAGCAACAGAUGCAUCGCACGUCCUUUCCUCAGACUUUUUUUACUUGAUUGCUUUGCAUAGGUCUUCC
rnacentral:lncRNA from 1 species